rnacentral:rRNA from 1 species
UACGGAGGGAGCUAGCGUUGUUCGGAAUUACUGGGCGUAAAGCGCGCGUAGGCGGCUUUGUAAGUUAGAGGUGAAAGCCCGGAGCUCAACUCCGGAACUGCCUUUAAAACUGCAUCGCUUGAAUCCAGGAGAGGUGAGUGGAAUUCCGAGUGUAGAGGUGAAAUUCGUAGAUAUUCGGAAGAACACCAGUGGCGAAGGCGGCUCACUGGACUGGUAUUGACGCUGAGGUGCGAAGGCGUGGGGAGCAAACAGG